UCCUACGGGAGGCAGCAGUGGGGAAUAUUGGACAAUGGGGGCAACCCUGAUCCAGCCAUGCCGCGUGUGUGAAGAAGGCCCUCGGGUUGUAAAGCACUUUCAGCGAGGAAGAACGCCUAGCGGUUAAUACCCGCUAGGAAAGACAUCACUCGCAGAAGAAGCACCGGCUAACUCCGUGCCAGCAGCCGCGGUAAUACGGAGGGUGCAAGCGUUAAUCGGAAUUACUGGGCGUAAAGCGCGCGUAGGUGGCUUGAUAAGCCGGUUGUGAAAGCCCCGGGCUCAACCUGGGAACGGCAUCCGGAACUGUCAAGCUAGAGUGCAGGAGAGGAAGGUAGAAUUCCCGGUGUAGCGGUGAAAUGCGUAGAGAUCGGGAGGAAUACCAGUGGCGAAGGCGGCCUUCUGGACUGACACUGACACUGAGGUGCGAAAGCGUGGGUAGCAAACAGGACUAGAUACCCUGGUAGUCCACGCCGUAAACGAUGUCGACCAGCCGUUGGGUGCCUAGCGCACUUUGUGGCGAAGUUAACGCGAUAAGUCGACCGCCUGGGGAGUACGGCCGCAAGGUUAAAACUCAAAUGAAUUGACGG
rnacentral:rRNA from 1 species